UACGGGGGGGGCAAGCGUUGCUCGGAAUCACUGGGCGUAAAGGGCGCGUAGGCGGGAUGGCAAGUCGGUCGUGAAAUCCUUCGGCUCAACCGAAGAACGUCGGCCGAUACUGCCGUUCUUGAGGGAUGCAGAGGAGAUUGGAAUUCCCGGUGUAGCGGUGAAAUGUGUAGAGAUCGGGAGGAACACCGGUGGCGAAGGCGGGUCUCUGGGCAUCUCCUGACGCUGAGGCGCGAAAGCGUGGGGAGCAAACGGG
rnacentral:rRNA from 1 species